rnacentral:rRNA from 1 species
UUGUACUUGGUGUUACUGCGAAGGGGGGACGGAGAAGGCUAUGUUGGCCGGGCGACGGUUGUCCCGGUUUAAGCGUGUAGGCUGGUUUUCCAGGCAAAUCCGGAAAAUCAAGGCUGAGGCGUGAUGACGAGGCACUACGGUGCUGAAGCAACAAAUGCCCUGCUUCCAGGAAAAGCCUCUAAGCAUCAGGUAACAUCAAAUCGUACCCCAAACCGACACAGGUGGUCAGGUAGAGAAUACCAAGGCGCUUGAGGGAACUCGGGUGAAGGAACUAGGCAAAAUGGUGCCGUAACUUCGGGAGAAGGCACGCUGAUAUGUAGGUGAAGCGACUUGCUCGUGGAGCUGAAAUCAGUCGAAGAUACCAGCUGGCUGCAACUGUUUAUUAAAAACACAGCACUGUGCAAACACGAAAGUGGACGUAUACGGUGUGACGCCUGCCCGGUGCCGGAAGGUUAAUUGAUGGGGUUAGCGCAAGCGAAGCUCUUGAUCGAAGCCCCGGUAAACGGCGGCCGUAACUAUAACGGUCCUAAGGUAGCGAAAUUCCUUGUCGGGUAAGUUCCGACCUGCACGAAUGGCGUAAUGAUGGCCAGGCUGUCUCCACCCGAGACUCAGUGAAAUUGAACUCGCUGUGAAGAUGCAGUGUACCCGCGGCAAGACGGAAAGACCCCGUGAACCUUUACUAUAGCUUGACACUGAACAUUGAGCCUUGAUGUGUAGGAUAGGUGGGAGGCUUAGAAGUGUGGACGCCAGUCUGCAUGGAGCCGACCUUGAAAUACCACCCUUUAAUGUUUGAUGUUCUAACGUUGACCCGUAAUCCGGGUUGCGGACAGUGUCUGGUGGGUAGUUUGACUGGGGCGGUCUCCUCCUAAAGAGUAACGGAGGAGCACGAAGUUGGCUAAUCCUGGUCGGACAUCAGGAGGUUAGUGCAAUGGCAUAAGCCAGCUUGACUGCGAGCGUGACGGCGCGAGCAGGUGCGAAAGCAGGUCAUAGUGAUCCGGUGGUUCUGAAUGGAAGGGCCAUCGCUCAACGGAUAAAAGGUACUCCGGGGAUAACAGGCUGAUACCGCCCAAGAGUUCAUAUCGACGGCGGUGUUUGGCACCUCGAUGUCGGCUCAUCACAUCCUGGGGCUGAAGUAGGUCCCAAGGGUAUGGCUGUUCGCCAUUUAAAGUGGUACGCGAGCUGGGUUUAGAACGUCGUGAGACAGUUCGGUCCCUAUCUGCCGUGGGCGCUGGAGAACUGAGGGGGGCUGCUCCUAGUACGAGAGGACCGGAGUGGACGCAUCACUGGUGUUCGGGUUGUCAUGCCAAUGGCACUGCCCGGUAGCUAAAUGCGGAAGAGAUAAGUGCUGAAAGCAUCUAAGCACGAAACUUGCCCCGAGAUGAGUUCUCCCUGACCCUUUAAGGGUCCUGAAGGAACGUUGAAGACGACGACGUUGAUAGGCCGGGUGUGUAAGCGCAGCGAUGCGUUGAGCUAACCGGUACUAAUGAACCGUGAGGCUUAACC